UUGUUACGCGUCGAGAUAGGGAGGGGGAAAGUAAAGUGUUUUUUUUAAAGGGCGGGAUCACGGAGUUGAAGAUGGAAAUAAUUUACGUCUCGUCUUCCAGGACAUUCGUAACAGACGUAACUUGAGGCUCAAUAGAACCAACUAGAUAUCGAUAGAUAUGGAAUAACACAAUUUUUUCGUGUAUGUUAUCGGUGUAUCAUAGUGCAAAGUUCCUAGUUUCGUGUGUGAAAAUUGUUUGCAACUUGGGAUAAGUAAUGAGAAAUUGGGGG